rfam:Clostridium sp. CAG:226 genomic scaffold, scf123
AUAAUGAUACUUCUGCGCAGUCGAGAUUAAGUUCCAGAGCGCAGCCCGGGCGUUGCCGGGGUGGUGAAAGUCCAAUGA